rnacentral:rRNA from 1 species
UGGGGAAUAUUGCACAAUGGGCGAAAGCCUGAUGCAGCAACGCCGCGUGAGUGAUGAAGGUCUUCGGAUUGUAAAGCUCUGUCUUUUGGGACGAUAAUGACGGUACCAAAGGAGGAAGCCACGGCUAACUACGUGCCAGCAGCCGCGGUAAUACGUAGGUGGCGAGCGUUGUCCGGAUUUACUGGGCGUAAAGGGUGCGUAGGCGGAUGUUUAAGUGAGAUGUGAAAUACCCGGGCUUAACUUGGGUGCUGCAUUUCAAACUGGAUAUCUAGAGUGCAGGAGAGGAGAAUGGAAUUCCUAGUGUAGCGGUGAAAUGCGUAGAGAUUAGGAAGAACACCAGUGGCGAAGGCGAUUCUCUGGACUGUAACUGACGCUGAGGCACGAAAGCGUGGGUAGCAAACAGGAUUAGAUACCCUGGUAGUCCACGCCGUAAACGAUGAGUACUAGGUGUAGGAGGUAUCGACCCCUUCUGUGCCGCAGUAAAACACAUUAAGUACUCCGCCUGGGAAGUACGAUCGCAAGAUUAAAAAC